rnacentral:rRNA from 1 species
GUGGGGAAUAUUGGACAAUGGGGGGAACCCUGAUCCAGCCAUGCCGCGUGUGUGAAGAAGGCCUUUUGGUUGUAAAGCACUUUAAGCGAGGAGGAGGCUACCGAGAUUAAUACUCUUGGAUAGUGGACGUUACUCGCAGAAUAAGCACCGGCUAACUCUGUGCCAGCAGCCGCGGUAAUACAGAGGGUGCAAGCGUUAAUCGGAUUUACUGGGCGUAAAGCGCGCGAAGGUGGCCAAUUAAGUCAAAUGUGAAAUCCCCGAGCUUAACUUGGAGAUUGCAUUCGAUACUGGUUGGCUAGAGUAUGGGAGAGGAUGGUAGAAUUCCAGGUGUAGCGGUGAAAUGCGUAGAGAUCUGGAGGAAUACCGAUGGCGAAGGCAGCCAUCUGGCCUAAUACUGACACUGAGGUGCGAAAGCAUGAGGAGCAAACAGGAUUAGAAACCCUAGUAGUCC